rnacentral:lncRNA from 1 species
GGCCAGCAGCGACAGUUGCUUGUAGCAGUGACGUCCACACCUUGGACAACGGCAGGCCUCCGGGGUGGUGACGGUGGGGCACAGGAAAGCAAGGCGCACGACGAGUAGUCGCUGUCGAUUACGGAAUGGUUGAUUAAUUUCUGGCGCCUGGAUGAUGAGAUGCUGGAAACACUGCUGCCGUUGUGGAAGGGAGGCGAAGGCGCACAACGAGUAGUCGCUGUCGAUUACGGAAUGGUUGAUUAAUUUCUGGCGCCUGGAUGAUGAGAUGCUGGAAACACUGCUGCCGUUGUGUGGAAGGAAGGCGAAGGCGCAAGUGGAGUCGUGGAAGGUUGGCUGAGCCUGUCGAGAUGUCUGGCGUGUUGUUGAUGAGCAGCGGCGAAGAGAAGAAAGAACGGGCAA